UGCAAUCGGAUGCGAAUUUGCGAUGUG
rnacentral:sRNA from 1 species